UUUCCGUAGGUGAACCUGCGGAAGGAUCAUUAUUGUAUAACCGAGGUGCGAGGGCUGUCGCUGACCCGAAAGGUCGUGCACGCCCGAGUGCCCUCACACACAUCCAUCUCACCCCUAUGUGCACCACCGCGUGAGUCCCCUUUGGCUUGUUCGGAGGGGGGCUUACGUUUUCACACAAACUUUGUAUGCAGUGUAGAAUGUAUUUUUUGUUUUUGCGAUCACGCAAUCAAUACAACUUUCAACAACGGAUCUCUUGGCUCUC
rnacentral:misc_RNA from 1 species